UUAAAAAAUAUUUUUACUUUAAUCAACAAGUAACAUGUAUAUAUCUUAAAAAAUUAAAAAAAAAAGAAAAUUUUAAAAUAAUGUUUUAUAAAAAUAUAUAUAUCUACAAAAAGUAAGAAAAAUAAUAUUAAAUAUAAAAAUCAAAUUGUGGGAUUAGGUACUUUGUGACCAAUAGCUUUUUAUUAAUUACAGUAUUUAAAUUUUCUUUACUAUUUCUAACUUAAAAGCUAACACAAUAUAAGUUUUUUAUUUAAAAAAUACGAAAAGCUGACUAAAUCUACAAGUAAGCGUAAUUAGCCCCCUUUAUAAUAAAUAAAACAAAUAAUUACAAAUGAAAGUUUUAGCUGGUCGCUUGAGCGCUCUCACGUUUUCUCGGCACGUGACGAUCGACACCGCUCUCUCUCCCGUUCAACUGUUAUUUUUACAGUAUUUCUUCGUUCUCUAACAACGCCUCGGCGUCCGCCGUGCCCAUUACUAAGUUGUAAAACCACGAUUGUGCGACUACGGAAAUAUAGACGAGCAAUACCACGAAAGCCAUGAGAGUUAACACGCAAACGGCCCACACCGACAAAAGUCCAAAUAAAUCUAUUUCAUCGAAUUUUUUAUCGAGCUACUAAGAAAAACAAAGGCAAGAGUUCGCUUGUGAUAUUUUCACCUAAAAAUUUGUAAAAAAAAAGUGAAGUGAAAUGUCCGAUUUAUUGCUGUAUUUCUUGGUUGCUUUAGUGCUUCUGCUCUUUAUCGGCUUAUCGGUAAUUCUUUACUUCAAGUGUCGCGCUUGGUUCCCGAUUCAGGUGGUGCACCCGAACAAUGUAAAUCACGGCCAAAGAGAAACCGCCUUCUAAAUCCACAUAUUGGUGCCCAAUGCUUCCUAGGGGAGCAAACAGUGCAGUAUUGCAGGGUGUAAAUAUGCCAAAAUGGACUUUACUGAUCUUGACUUCAAUCUUUUAUGUUGCGUGUUUUUUGUUCACCUUGAAACGUCUUACUUGUCUAUGCCUUUCAGAACUUAUUGUUCCUUAAUAAACUUUGUUUGGUAAAAUUAGAAACAAAAUUUCCAAUUAUAAUUUUUUUUUUAUUAAACAUUGUUUUUAUAUUCUGGAAAGUUUGGCAGGACAGCAGCAGAAAAUGUUAAAGAGGCAUGUUACUCUAACAUACGACUAUCUGACAGCACUGUUGCAGGCACAGUGGUUAAAUACGAAGCAAUUGGUCGAAAAAAGCUUACCACAUAAUGUUUGCACGAAAA